rnacentral:rRNA from 1 species
AGCAGCCGCGGUAAUUCCAGCUCCAAUAGCGUAUAUUAAAGUUGUUGCAGUUAAAAAGCUCGUAGUUGAAUUUCGGGAUCAAUAUAUCGGUCGUGCCUUGGUACGUACUGGUAUCAUUGGUCUCUCCUUUCUGACGAACCAUGAUGUCAUUAAUUUGGUGUUAUGGGAAGUUAGGACUGUUACUUUGAAAAAAUUAGAGUGUUUAAAGCAGGCUUUAGCUUGAAUACAUUAGCAUGGAAUAAUGAAAUAGGACGUUCGAACCUAUUUUGUUGGUUUCUAGGAUCAACGUAAUGAUUAAUAGGGAUAGUUGGGGGCAUUAGUAUUCAAUUGUCAGAGGUGAAAUUCUUGGAUUUAUUGAAGACUAACUACUGCGAAAGCAUUUGCCAAGGAUGUUUUCAUUAAUCAAGAACGAAAGUUAGGGGAUCGAAGACGAUCAGAUACCGUCGUAGUCUUAACCAUAAACUAUGCCGACUAGGGAUCGGAUGAUGUUAAUUUUUUAAUGACUCAUUCGGCGCCUUACG